ACGGGAGGCAGCAGUGGGGGAUAUUGCACCAUGGAGGAAACUCUGAUGCAGCAACGCCGCGUGAAGGAAGAAGGUCUUCGGAUUGUAAACUUCUGUUUUUAGUGAAGAAACAAAUGACGGUAGCUAAAGAGGAAGCCACGGCUAACUACGUGCCAGCAGCCGCGGUAAUACGUAGGUGGCAAGCGUUGUCCGGAUUUACUGGGUGUAAAGGGUGCGCAGGCGGGACUGCAAGUUGGAUGUGAAAUACCGGAGCUUAACUCCGGGGCUGCAUCCAAAACUGUGGUUCUUGAGUGGAGUAGAGGUAAGCGGAAUUCCGAGUGUAGCGGUGAAAUGCGUAGAUAUUCGGAGGAACACCGGUGGCGAAGGCGGCUUACUGGGCUCUAACUGACGCUGAGGCACGAAAGUGUGGGUAGCAAACAGGGUUAAAUACCCUGGUA
rnacentral:rRNA from 1 species